CGGUGAUGUCCACACAGCCUUUUUUCUUGGUGGCUCCUGAGUAGCUACUUGAAAUGGACUCACGGUGCAGAGAGGACCUAUCUGAGCUGAAUGGGGUCCAUGUUGGAAUUCCUCUAGGACUUUGUUCCUAGCAAAGAAGAACCUCCUGAGUGGUUUUCUUUUUCUGAGAAGACUUCUCCAUUUGUAAAAGCUUCAGAUGCCCCAAAACCUUUUUCCAUCUCAGCCAGACUUGUGUAUCCAACUGCUUCUGAUGCGCUUCCAUGCAUGUUCCCGUGACGCUUCACAACGAAAAGGAAUGUGCCUGCUUCUGUGAGCCCCAGGCCUUUGCGUCCUCCUGAGUUCUCUCUCUCCAAAUGUGACCAGUUCUACCCACUUGGGCCUCAAAAUUCAGAGAGAGAGAGAGAGCGCACAAGCAGGGG